rnacentral:lncRNA from 1 species
UUUCAUUUGCGCCGAUUUUUUUUUCAUUUGCGCCGAUUUUUUUGCGCCGAUUUUUUUACAGGUAAAUUACAGGUGAAAAGAUAUAAGAAGAUGCGGUAUGAGUGCCAAUGAGACAACUCUCUAUCCCAGUCAUGUUAUAGUUGUUUAUUCUUUAGUUUUCUAUGUUGUGUUAUGUGUACUAUUGUUUGUCUGUUUGUCCUUUUCAU